CAGCCGCGCCGAGCCCCCAAAUGGAUUUACCCAGACGCACUGGUGCUCCCCGGCCCGAUCCCGCCGCCUAGACCUCACCGGAGCGCCGCCGCCGCCGCCGCUAGCCACCACCGCCGGCCACCGGAGCCCGCGGCCCCGCCUCCUCCAGCCAUCCCGACACAAACCGCGACCACCAGAAGGUACGCUAGAAGGACAACGCAUGGACGUGCAAUACAGGAUUUUGGAGCCAAGCUAGAAGACGGUGAAUGGUGGAUACAUCUAGAAGAUGGAUGGAUGGAUCCCGAUGUGCAUGACCGAAGGCAGAUACUCGCCAAGCGAGUGUCAUCUAAUUAGCACUGACUUAGUGUUACUCUCAGGCAAGCCCCGGAGCAUAACCCUUAAUUUUAGUAUUUAAUGUUUAUUAUAUAAUUAUUAUGCAUUUACGUU